rnacentral:lncRNA from 1 species
GUGCAACUCAACGUUAGUAUGGUGUUCGCAAUGUUUGGUAUACUCAGUGUAUGUAGCUCAUAGUAAUAAUCUUACAAAACACUUGUAACAGAUUAUUGUCGUCACAAGUAUGUCAUGCAUGAAGGGUCUAUGUAGUAUAUAAUAAUUUCAAAGUAAAGGAAUGGAAAAUAUAACGAAAACAUACAUCUGUACAUACGUCAACAGAAGGAAGUAACAAUGUGAACUGACAUAUUUACAUUUCUCGUUUGUUUAGACAUAGAAUAAAUAAGAGAUAUAAACAUAUCUGGAACAUAUAGCAUGACUCACAGUCUGAUGUAAUAUGAAACUGAUCCCUGUCCUUUGUGGUUUGUCUGUCUGCCUAAUAAUAACCUGGUUAGAUUCAUCCUAAAAGAGAGGGAGGCCCCUCUACUACAGUAUAUACAGUAUUGUAUUGUUCUAGGAGGGAGGCCCCUCUACUACAGUAUAUACAGUAUUGUAUUGUUCUAGGAGGGAGGCCCCUCUACUACAGUAAAUACAGUAUUGUAUUGUUCUAGGAGGGAGGCCCCUCUACUACAGUAAAUACAGUAUUAUAUUGUCCAAGGAAGGAAGGCCCCUCUACUACAGUAAAUACAGUAUUGUAUUUUCCUGAGAGGGAGGCCCCUCUACUACAAUCAGUUAAAUACUAUAUUUUCCUAGGAGGCAACCCUCUCUACUACAGUAAAUACAGUAUUAUAUUGUCCUAGGAAGGAAGGCCCCUCUACUACAAUAAAUACACUAUUAUAUUGUCCUGGGAGAGAGACCCCUCUACUACAGUAAAUAAUGUAUUAUAUUGUCUUAGGAGGGAGACACAUCUACUACAGUAAUACAGUAUUAUAUUGUCCUAGGAGGGAGGCCCUAGAACUAAAGUAAAUACUGUAUCAUAUUGUCCUAGGAGGGGGCCCUAGCCUGGUCACAGAUCUGUUUGUAUUGUCUUGUGCCAACUGGUCAGUUGGCAAGACAGCCCAAACAGAUCUAGGACCUGGCUAGGCUCUCUCUACUAUAUCUUACAUUGCUGCUACAACAAUACAGGCACUUUGUUUGGCUGUGAGUGACUUGGAUCUAGCCUGGUCUCAGAUCUGUUUGGUCUGCCUUGCCAUGACAAUGACCAUAGAUGUUGGCUAAGCAGCACAAACAGAUCUGAGACCAGGCUAAUUUGGAUCCUGAUAUCAACGGAAUGAUAGUUUCACCAUAAUACACUAAGGAUUAUUUUUGUUACUUUUUUAAAACUUUACUUUAUUUGGUAAAUAUUUUCUUAACUUUUUAAUUUCACGGUAAGGUUGUAAUCUGUUGUACUUGGCGCCUGUGUCAAAUACAAUGUGAUUAGAUUGGAUUUGAUGCUCUCAUUCUAUAUUUAAACAAUACAAGUCAUUUUAGGCCUACUAAAGU